GUUUAAUUAGGGUUGCAGCUAAACACUGCAGAAAGGUGGCUUCCCAGUAGCAGGAUUGGACACCAUGGAUAAAGACAUAAAAUGGGAUCUCCAGAGCAAAUAUUUCCAACCCUGUUCCCUGAGUACUCCUACCACUGCACAAUAUCAUAUAAGGGAUACAUCCAAAAUAUGUAUUGUUUAGAGUUCUCCAGGACAAGGGUUGGAAAUAACUGCUCCAGGAUAAAGAUUCAGACUUUUAGCUGAAACCAUGGUCCUUGGGGAUGAUAAAAUGCAAGUCAGAGUCAUCCUGUUUUUGAAAAAAAAAAAAAAAACUUCAUAUCAAGGAACAUAAAAUUCAAACCCAUGGCUCAUAACAAUAUAUAUGUUUUUAUAAAGUUAAACGAUCAGUCUGUGCAAGAAACUGAACAUUAUUUACAACAUUAUUACUUAUUUUUAUUAUUACUUGCGUUAUUGCCAAUAGGAUUUCUCUUUUCCGAGAACUGGUUCUUACAGACAGUUCCAUGAACUGGUUAAAUUCACUAGUUUGAAACUAGUUCAAACUGAACAUCACUCAUCAUUUGCCUGAGGCUCUGGAUUACAGGUAAUACAAUGCUGCUGACUUGCAUUUUAGCAAUCACCAAUGACCAUGGUCCCAGCUAAAAAUCUAAUGACUAUCCUACUGAAGAAAAAAAAGUCACCUACAUCUUGGACGACCUCAGAUGUGGCAUUAUGGGACUGGGCGCGCAUCAUUCAAAUCUGAAAUCCAGCCGACUGGAGCAGCGCGAGAAUGAUUGAAGAUUAGAGGCUUUAUUCAUAAUUCCUGGUGUGAAGAAUAGCAGCUGAUGUGGAGAAAUGUUUGAUGCUUCAAGACUCUGAAGCUGAUUAUAUUAGGUGAACCCAGUGGCUUUUGACUAUUUGAGGGUCAGAUGGUUGUGAAUUCAUACUUCAUCUUUGUGGCUGGAUUUGCAGUCUUAUUACAACUUCAGUCUGGCGUCCCGGGAGCAGACAUCUUUUGCACACUUGAGUUUUUUCAAAGAUUUUUUCUUGGAAUCACUACACUCACUGGAUACAAGACGGAUACAUAGAGGCAAAACAAGUGGAAAGGUCUCAGACCCUCGUGUGUGCUCAUCUCAGAAAGUUGAUGGACUUUCAGUAUGUAUUUAUUAAAUUGUCUUUUGCAGGAAUAUACUUAAUUUAAUAGAACAUAAGCUCAAAAAAAAGUGAUUAUACAAAUUCUGUUGAUUGACUUUCAUUUUUAUAGAAAGUUAAUGUUCUACUCAGAAUAUGGCUUUUUUUAUCAGGUAUUUGUAGUUAUUUUGUGAUGCUAUGUUAUUUUUUUUUUGAUAAGAUUUUAACUGUUGAAAGACUGAACAUUUUAUUU